UCGAAAACGUCGUUCAUGCGCACUUGUAUUCACAUUUCCAUCGAAGUUUUCGCUUAAGCGAAUUGGUAGCUCCGUUUCUACUUUUCGCGAAGCGAUUGGCAGUUCGAACUGUUUCUACAUUUUGCGAUGCGGAAAAAUGUGGUCAACCAAUCAGAGCUCAGGAACCAAAUAAAUUAUCCUAGCAGAAAACAGUCUUUAGAGUUGGCCUCUGUGCUGGAUUGUGAAAAAUGAAAGUGCUUAAGUAGGUAACUACAGGAAAGGCUGUACUUAGAUUGUGAAAAAGAAAACAACUUUGAGCAGACAACUAAGCAAGACUGUGCUGGAUUGUGAAGAAAGAAAGGGCUUUGUAGCAGGUAACAACAAUAACGUACCUUCAUUCUAUGAAUAUCUCAGGAAAUCUGUGUAGGCCUACAGUUUUAAGACCAGAAUUGAUAAGAGUUGCAAUAGCUUUUAUCAAAUGUGUUUGUUCUAAAAUGAUAUGUGAUUCAAAAUUGAACUUGAAGUGGAAUCAGUUGUUGUAUUUACCAGUACAGUAGACAUUGAUUGUAGAACAUCGUGCAUUGUCUUUAAGUUGAUUGACUGGUUGAUUGAUUGAUUGAUUCAUUAUUUGUUUGAUUGAGUGAUUAGUUAAUCUUUCUGACCCAUUUUAUUUAUUGUUUGUAUAUACUGUUUUGUGCUAGGCCUUGAAAGUAAAAGUUGAAUUGAAUUUAAUAGACAAGGCUGAGCUUGGAUUGUGAAUAAGAAAAUUACUUGGAACAGGCCACAGUAGGGAGGACUGUGCUACAAUUGCGAAAAAGAGAAAGUCUUGGACCCAAAGCAAGCCGCAAGGCUGUGUUAGAAUUGUGCAAACAGUCAUUGGAAUCCGUCUUAGCCAUCUUUACGAUGAUACGAUAUUUUAUUGCGUGCACUUGCUUUGUGGCAAACGUCCUUUUCUAUACUAUAAGGUUUAAUUUAAGUAUCGCCAUCACUGUGAUGGUGCGUCACAACACAAGUUUGACUGUUGGUAAAAUAGAGCUGCCACUUAACACCACAAAAAGCAACGACAAUAAUGUGCAAACUUUCGAUUGGGAUGAAAAAACACAGCAAAUGAUACUUGGAGCUUUCUUUUAUGGUUACGCAAUCAUGCCGAUACCCGGAAGUUGGUUGGCAGAACGUAUAGGCGGCAAACGAAUGAUUGGAUUUUCAAUUAUUUGUUCGAGUAUUCUAUCAAUCUUAAUACCAUGGGCAGCAGGAGUCAGUGUUGGCCUAGUUGUGAUAUUGCGAGGUUUAGACGGAAUGGUUCAGGGAAAUGUAAUACCUGCAACUGUCAUCUUACUGCAAAACUGGGCUCCGAAAGCUGAGUUAAAUACCAUAAUAUCAAUUGCUUUUGCAGGCAGUGUAGGCUUGAUUUUGGCUUUAUUUUGGACAGUGUUUGUAUACGAUACAGCAAACGAACAUCCAUGCAUAUCACAGAAUGAGCUCGCCUUGCUCGAUUCAAACCCAAGUCCAAUGGAAUCGGAUAUCAAAAUUAAAUCCGUUCCAUGGCUGUCCAUUUUUACCUCGCCACCAGUUUUGGCAAUCGUCAUAAGUUACUUUUCAUUCGACUUUGGCGUAUAUUUCUUCUUUACGGAUAUACCAACAUUUUUGUCCUCAGUUUUAGGAUACAAUUUUCAAACAGUUGGUGUUUUGGUUCUCCUAAUGUGUAUAUCUCAGUUUGUACCUGCUGUCCUAUAUGGGAAAUUCAUGGAUUUUCUUAUUCAACGUGAAUAUCUUAGCGCCUUAAAUACACGAAAAUUAUAUGCAGUUUUAUCACUUGGAAUACCAGCUGUCUGUCUUCUUGCUCUUGGAUAUGCUAGCAGUAAUGAAUACUUCAUGCAGUUUCUUAUUAUAACUACUUUUGGAAUUUAUGGAGUAGGGAAUUCCGUGCUUUCCAACCCGAUAGACCUUUCUCCAAUGUACUCUGGGAUAAUAACAGGUGUCGUAAUGACGAUAUCCAGUACUGCUGGUUUUAUUGGACCUUUCAUUGUUGGAUUAUUAACGCAAGAUAAUGUAAGAUUAUUUAUGUAUUGAUUAUCCUGAAAAUGUUUUUACCUUAUUUAUUAGGCCUAUACUGUUAAUGAUACCAAUAGGUUAGAGCUGCUCUUUUAUUCUAAAUCUUAUCUGACAUCAUGUAAUUAUCGUCAGUUUCACGCCAAAAAUGGCCUAUCAUAUGGACGGUCCGGUGGACCAAUGUUAGCCACCAACUGUUACUACAAGAAUGUUUCAUGAUAAUAUUAAUGCAGAAUUCUUUCAAAAGGUGGGUGUGUUUAUUUUGCCAUGUUACCAGAAGUCUUACAAUUUUUUUUGAAUUUCAUACGCUAUUAUUGAAUCC
rnacentral:misc_RNA from 1 species